AGAGUUUGAUCCUGGCUCAGGACGAACGCUGGCGGCGUGCUUAACACAUGCAAGUCGAACGAGAAGAGAUGAGAAGCUUGCUUCUUAUUAAUUCGAGUGGCAAACGGGUGAGUAACGCGUAAGCAACCUGCCCUUCAGAUGGGGACAACAGCUGGAAACGGCUGCUAAUACCGAAUACGUUCUUUUUGUCGCAUGGCAGAGGGAAGAAAGGGAGGCUCUUCGGAGCUUUCGCUGAAGGAGGGGCUUGCGUCUGAUUAGCUAGUUGGAGGGGUAACGGCCCACCAAGGCGACGAUCAGUAGCCGGUCUGAGAGGAUGAACGGCCACAUUGGGACUGAGACACGGCCCAGACUCCUACGGGAGGCAGCAGUGGGGAAUCUUCCGCAAUGGACGAAAGUCUGACGGAGCAACGCCGCGUGAACGAUGACGGCCUUCGGGUUGUAAAGUUCUGUUAUACGGGACGAAUGGUACGACGGUCAAUACCCGUCGUAAGUGACGGUACCGUAAGAGAAAGCCACGGCUAACUACGUGCCAGCAGCCGCGGU
rnacentral:rRNA from 1 species